AACGAACGCUGGCGGCAUGCCUAACACAUGCAAGUCGAACGAAGCCUUCGGGCUUAGUGGCGCACGGGUGCGUAACGCGUGGGAAUCUGCCCUUGGGUUCGGAAUAACAGUUAGAAAUGACUGCUAAUACCGAAUGAUGUCUUCGGACCAAAGAUUUAUCGCCCAAGGAUGAGCCCGCGUCGGAUUAGCUAGUUGGUGAGGUAAAGGCUCACCAAGGCGACGAUCCGUAGCUGGUCUGAGAGGAUGAUCAGCCACACUGGGACUGAGACACGGCCCAGACUCCUACGGGAGGCAGCAGUGGGGAAUACUGGACAAUGGGCGAAAGCCUGAUCCAGCAAUGCCGCGUGAGUGAUGAAGGCCUUAGGGUUGUAAAGCUCUUUACCCGGGAUGAUAAUGACAGUACCGGGAGAAUAAGCCCCGGCUAACUCCGUGCCAGCAGCCGCGGUAAU
rnacentral:rRNA from 1 species